CCUACGGGAGGCAGCAGUAGGGAAUCUUCCACAAUGGGCGAAAGCCUGAUGGAGCAACGCCGCGUGGGUGAAGAAGGUCUUCGGAUCGUAAAACCCUUUUUUUAGAGAAGAAAGCGUGUGAGAGUAACUUUUCACGUUUCUACUGUAUCUAUCCAGAAAGGCACGGCUAACUACGUCCCAGCAGCCGCUGUAAUACGUAGAUGGCAAGCGUUAUCCGGAUUUGUUUGGCGUAAAGGGAACGCAGGCGGUGUUGUAGGUCUGAUGUGAAAAGGUUGGGCUUAACACGGGUAGUGCCUUGGAAACUGGGAGACUAGAGUGUAGAAGAGGAAGGAGGAACGCAAGGUGUAGCGGUGAAAUGCGUAGAGAU
rnacentral:rRNA from 1 species